rnacentral:rRNA from 1 species
UACAGAGGGUGCGAGCGUUAAUCGGAUUUACUGGGCGUAAAGCGUGUGUAGGUGGCUUCCUAAGUCGGUUGUGAAAUCCCUGGGCUCAACCUGGGAAUUGCAGUCGAUACUGGGAAGCUCGAGUUCGGUAGAGGACGGCGGAAUUCCCGGUGUAGCGGUGAAAUGCGUAGAGAUCGGGAGGAACAUCUGUGGCGAAGGCGGCCAUCUGGACCAGCACUGACACUGAGGCACGAAAGCGUGGGGAGCAAACAGG